rnacentral:rRNA from 1 species
UAGGGAAUCUUCGGCACUGGGGGCAACCCUGACCGAGCAACGCCGCGUGAGUGAAGAAGGUUUUCGGAUCGUAAAGCUCUGUUGUAAGAGAAGAACGUGUGUGAGAGUGGAAAGUUCACACAGUGACGGUAACUUACCAGAAAGGGACGGCUAACUACGUGCCAGCAGCCGCGGUAAUACGUAGGUCCCGAGCGUUGUCCGGAUUUAUUGGGCGUAAAGCGAGCGCAGGCGGUUUAAUAAGUCUGAAGUUAAAGGCAGUGGCUUAACCAUUGUUCGCUUUGGAAACUGUUAAACUUGAGUGCAGAAGGGGAGAGUGGAAUUCCAUGUGUAGCGGUGAAAUGCGUAGAUAUAUGGAGGAACACCGGUGGCGAAAGCGGCUCUCUGGUCUGUAACUGACGCUGAGGCUCGAAAGCGUGGGGAGCAAACAGG